GACGAACGCUGGCGGCGUGCUUAACACAUGCAAGUCGAACGGAAAGGCCCUGCUUUUGUGGGGUGCUCGAGUGGCGAACGGGUGAGUAACACGUGAGUAACCUGCCCUUGACUUUGGGAUAACUUCAGGAAACUGGGGCUAAUACCGGAUAGGAGCUCCUGCUGCAUGGUGGGGGUUGGAAAGUUUCGGCGGUUGGGGAUGGACUCGCGGCUUAUCAGCUUGUUGGUGGGGUAGUGGCUUACCAAGGCUUUGACGGGUAGCCGGCCUGAGAGGGGGACCGGCGACAUUGGGACUGAGGUACGGACCAGACUCGUACGUGAGGCAGCAGUGGAGAAUAUUGCACAAUGGGCGGAAGCCUGAUGCAGCAACGCCGCGUGCGGGAUGACGGCCUUCGGGUUGUAAACCGCUUUCGCAUGUGACGAAGCGUGAGUGACGGUAAUGGGUAAAGAAGCACCGGCUAACUACGUG
rnacentral:rRNA from 1 species